CUUUGGUGUUUGUGGUCAGAAGUUUGAAUUUCGGCUCUGCUGUGUGACCAUAGGAGCAAAUUAGUCUCAUUUUGGAAAAGACAGAACAUGCACAAAGGACCCCCCUGAAAGGUUUCCAGUGCUCUGUUCCCGGAUGCGUUGCAGUCAGUGUAAUUACCUGAUGUGGAUCUUUCAGAGGAGAGCAGCAAUUCUCUAACAGCGUGUGCCCUCAUCAUGACCAGAUCUCCGGGAUGACUCAGAAAAAGAGGCAUGGACGUGGCCCUGUGAAAGGACCAUCUCUUUUCAGCAUGGGGCAGGAGCCAAACUGUACCCUGGAACACCUACAGAUAUCAUUGGUUUGACCUGGACAAGAACUCAGAGGCGGGUGAACUCACUUCACCUGAGUUCUUGGGAACAGACCCCUUCUCUGUGAAUCUGAAACUCAAGGGCACAAGGGAAAAACGCCAGCAUGGAUGUUUUCUCAGGGACCCAUCUUGGUAACUUUCCAGUUAAGCUGGAGAUGGAGGCGCCAGGUGUUAAAAAGAGGAAGCAACCAUGUCUGGCUCAAUUCCUUUAGCUCCUAGAACAACAACAACAACAAAAAAAUUGGAAUGAUUCAGAGAAAGCAAUCUGUUACCUGGAAGAAUCUAAUAGUUUUAAAAAAUGAUCUUUGAUCAAAGUUUCAUAGGGUCUUAUGCAAAUGGUGGCUCAGGUAAUACGAGGACUGAGUUGAAGACCACAGUCUGGACCCAUAUGUAAUGAUAAGGAGUCAAUCAACUUAACUUACUUCAGCUUUGCUACCAGGUUAUUUCUAGGAGACUUUUAAAUGCUGCCUGGUCCUCCAUCACACUCUCUAAUGUAUCCUUCCAGAUCUUUCCAUCCCUUGCCCCCCCCAAUACCUGUUCUCAGAUGCUUCCUCUCCCUAGAUCCCUCAGUUGCCACCUUCACUGCCUCCUUCCUCAGCCCUACACCACCUCUUGCUGUCUUAUCUUCUGGCACCUUCCAGCCAAAUACAAGUCCACAUAAUCAGUCAUGGAUUUCUUCUACUCUUAACCAGAGCUGACAUUGUCUGUGAGCAUUUUCCUGCACCAACUUCAAGUACAAAUGUGUGACCUUUGAUGUUAUUCCUUCUUUUACAC
rnacentral:lncRNA from 1 species